GGGGCUGUAGAACAGCGGAGUGUUCGUCUGCCUGUCACGCAGAAGGUCGUGGGUUCGAAUCCCAUCAGCCUCG
rnacentral:tRNA from 1 species